GAACUAAAAGUUGAUAUAUAGACUUUGGAAGUCUAAGAUUA
rnacentral:tRNA from 1 species